CGAAUAGGUGCUGAGAGCACCGUUGAUGAAGGUGGUGGUGGAUCAAGCCAAGGUGGAAAUGGAACCAACACCGAUCCUGGUUUCGCGGAUUACCACGUGUUAGCCUGAUCCACUACCACCAGAGACUAAAACACUUCCUUCCGGCUUUCCUUCGGGAACUACUUUGAUACCUGAUAAUAACUAAACGGCUGCUUAUCUUCUUCACUCACUUUUUACCACAUUAAUUACCGAUGGAUAAGCACCACUAAGGACAAAUUUUUAGUCGUUAGGGUGAAACGAUAACUGUUAGUUGACGAUUAUAAUUACAGUUAGUUAACGAGUGAUUGCAUUGUUAAUAGAGGUUACCAUUCUCUGAUAGCACAGGUAACUCAUGUAAAUCAAUGGUCAAGGUUCUGCGGAGAUAUGAAUAAUCCGGUUAACCCGCUAUCUCCUCGGUUACAGUAAAUUGCGACGUUGAACCUUAGAAAGACUAAGAAGUGGGGUGCGUCGAGCCUCCCAGUUGCAAAAUAGAUUGAUAUUUUGAUUUUAUUGCCAUAAUUUGCCAUAACUCCAUUAAUUGGAAAGAUAUGAUAAUAAAAUUUAAAGAAUAUGUGUAGGAAGAAAUCUGAAUGUAUUAUAAAAAAAGAGUGGUUGAUACUGAAGAUCGAAGAAUUUAGAAUUAUAAUAGAAAUUUCUGUAUCUCCAGAAUCUGUAUCUACGCAGUUAAAAUGGAUAUUUUAUAAAGAAUCGGACCACGUGGCCACAUGUUAUUGGCGUGAGUGGGAGUGACUAAAAGCAACCCACACCCCUGCGCCUCGACACAGUGGAUGGUACCGCGAGCAUCGUACGCAGGUCUAACCCCUUGGGAAGCUUGAAGAGGAGACCAAUGAGGUUCACGCGGAACCUCCUCGUUGCUAGUGUUCGAAAUUAGUUUGACGAGUGAAACUACGGUGUUACUAAAAAUACCAGCUAUGGCGUAGGUGGAACAACAGAUAAACAGCAGAGUGUAUACUUUACUGGUGUGUUAAUUAUACUUCAUUAAUAUUGGAUAGACUAAUCUCUAAUGUAACUUAAACGCAAAAUUAACAGAAUAAAAGAAAUCUUUUUAUUCAGAGAA